rnacentral:rRNA from 1 species
UGAGUAACACGUGGGUAACCUGCCUCAUAGAGGGGAAUAGCCUUUCGAAAGGAAGAUUAAUACCGCAUAAGAUUGUAGUACCGCAUGGUACAGCAAUUAAAGGAGUAAUCCGCUAUGAGAUGGACCCGCGUCGCAUUAGCUAGUUGGUGAGGUAACGGCUCACCAAGGCGACGAUGCGUAGCCGACCUGAGAGGUUGAACGGCCACAUUGGGACUGAGACACGGCCCAGACUCCUACGGGAGGCAGCAUG